CAGAGAGAGAGAGAGAGAGAGAGCACAGAGUGAGAGUGAGAGAGAGAGAGAGGCAGACUCCCCACUGAGCAGAGAGCCUGACGUGGGGCUCGAUCCCAGGACCCCCAGAUCAUGACCUGAACGGAAGGCAGACGCCCAACCACCUAAGCCACCCAGGCGCCCCAAAAGGUCCCUAUUUGUGGCAAAAUAUCUUGACUACUUCCGGUAGCUAGUCUGGAUCAUUUUUAUAGAUUAUCUGGAAAAUAAUGAAAAUAGGAUUUUAACAUUAGUAAGAGCCCAAGGAGGAGACUUUCAUUUAAAUCAGGACUCAGGGAGAACCCUGGUGGUACAGAUGAAAUGUUUUUACUGGGAAAGCAGGCCUAAAACCAGGCCAAGAGGACUUGUUGGGCCAGGGCCUUGUUGAAGGUGGGGAGAAGAGCGUUGCUGACUUAGGAGGAGCCGGGGCGAAGGCCCUUUGAUGACUCUAUUGUUCCAAGCGCUGCCCUACGAAUAGCGCAAGCCUCCCAGCCUCCUCCGCAAGGGCAGAGCGGGAAACUGGGUCGGUUGCGCGGCGCUCGAGGUAGUCGAGCUGGCACCAACCUCCCUCCGCCUCGUCUGCGGCCCCCUGGGGCAGCAACGACGCGCCAUUCCCGUCGCAGGCACAGAACACACAAAGGAAGCCCCCACCCGUCCUCAGACGUGGGGACACUCUGGGAAGGAGGCUGGCGUGGACCCCGAGUCUGAGCACCUCCCUCGCCCGCGGGGAACAAUAGCCGCCGCCUGCCCCGGGCAGCCCGGCGGUCGCGCGGCACAAUGGCCGUCUCGGGGCCGCGCCAGCAUGUGACGCGCGCGCGCUCGGCGCUCGCCCGGCCUGCCGCAGGGCGCAGUCAGCACAGAGCCGGAGCCGCCGGGCCGCGGCCAGGCUGCCGGAAUCCACCUGGCACACUUUCGGAAAGACAAACGGUGAGUUAAUCACCCAACAGGCUGGCGGCCGCGUCCCCUCUCGCCAGCGAGGAGGCCUGGGGAGGGGGCUGGGGUGAAGAAUUUCUGUGUGUGUGUCGAGGGUUGGGGAGGUGGGGGGCGGGGGGCGGCGGGAGAGGUUAGUCCUAUUAAGAAUUCAUCAAUCACCCGGUGUGCACUUUUCGCUCGACAGCGGUUCCUCCUACUUCAGAGCCCCAAGUCUGGGCCAGCUGGGAGCCGACCCGAAACCGCAAGCGGAGACGCAGGCACGCGGGCCUCCUCUUGGGUGGAAAUGAACUUGCUUUGGAGAGAUGUUCUACUAUCAUUUUGCUUUAGAUAGAUACAAGCUGAAGCAUGAAGCCUUGCACAGUGUUCUGAACUCAUUAAGCAAUGAAAAUACUGGUCCUGUUGUCCUUGGCUCAGAGUGUGUCCUUCUCUCCUUGCCUUUCAGCAAUACCUCCUGAACAGCUCCUGUGGGC
rnacentral:lncRNA from 1 species